UACGUAGGGGGCAAGCGUUGUCCGGAUUUAUUGGGCGUAAAGAGCGUGUAGGCGGCUAGAUAGGUCCGUUGUGAAAACUCGAGGCUCAACCUCGAGACGCCGGUGGAAACCAUCUAGCUAGAGUCCGGAAGAGGAGAAUGGAAUUCCCGGUGUAGCGGUGAAAUGCGCAGAUAUCGGGAAGAACACCCGUGGCGAAGGCGGUUCUCUGGGACGGUACUGGACGCUGAGACGCGAAAGCGUGGGGAGCGAACAGG
rnacentral:rRNA from 1 species